rnacentral:rRNA from 1 species
AUUGAACGCUGGCGGCAGGCUUAACACAUGCAAGUCGAGCGAGCGGCGGACGGGUGAGUAAUGUCUGGGAAACUGCCUGAUGGAGGGGGAUAACUACUAGAAACGGUAGCUACUACCGCAUACCAUCAGAUGUGCCCAGCUGGGAUUAGCUAGUGGGUGGGGUAAUGGCUCACCUAGGCGACGCACCCUAGCUGGUCUGAGAGGAUUACCGGCCAAACUGGAAUUGGGACCCGGUCCAGACGCCUACGGGAGGAAGCAUGGGGGAACAUUGGACAAUGGGCGCAAGCCUGAUGAAGCCAUGCCGGGGGUGGGAAGAAGGCCUUCGGGUUGUAAAGCCUUUUGAGCGAGGAGGCGUUACCCGCAGAAGAAGCACCGGCUAACUCCGUGCCAGCAGCCGCGGUAAUAC